GAAAUGCGAUAAGUAGUGUGAAUUGCAGAAUUCAGUGAAUCAUCGAAUCUUUGAACGUACAUUGCGCCCCUUGGUAUUCCAUGGGGCAUGCCUGUUCGAGCGUCAUUUGUACCCUCAAGCUUUGCUUGGUGUUGGGCGUCUUGUCGGAAUAUCCGACUCGCCUUAAAUACAUUGGCAGCCGGCACUUUGGCCUAGGAGCGCAGCACAUUUUGCGAUCGUAAGCCGUUGUGACAGCAUCCAUAAGAUUUAUUUUACCACGUUUGACCUCGGAUCGGGUAGGGAUACCCGCUGAACUUAAGC
rnacentral:misc_RNA from 1 species